GUUUUAAAGCAAGAUCACAAAGAUUUAUAUGUAUGUUUAAGAGUUUUGUAGUGUUCGUGCUUACAUUUAUUUUUAAUUAGUUUCUUCAUUUACUUAAUGGUUAUGGUGAUUGGCAACUCUUACAUUUAAAUAUAUGAACCAUUUUCAUUUGUAAUCUAUUCUUGCACAUAUGCUGGGUAAUAAGUUAGCUUUAUUAUUUGCAUUGAAGAUCCAGCUUUCUCAACACUGUUUGAUGGAAAAAAUUCCUCUUCCCAUUGAAUUGUUUGAAUACCCUUGUUGAACAUGAGAUGUGAAGAAGUAGAUAUGUUUAUUUCUGAACUCUAAAUUCUAUUCCAUAUUUCUGAUCUUAUGCUAUCCCCACAUAGUUCUCAUUAAUGUAGCUUGUAGUAAGUUUUUAAAAUCAGGAAGUAUAUACCCUUCAACCUUGUUUGUUCAGUUAUUUUGGCCUGUUGUUAAACCCUUGCAUUUCCCUAUGGAUUUUAAGAUCAGCUUGCAAAUGUCUGGACAAACACCAGGUGAGACCGUCAUUGUGAUUGUGUUGCAUCUGUUGACCCAUUUAGUGUGAUUGUUCUCUUAACCACAUUGCAUCCUCUUAUCCAUGAAAACCCAGACUGUCUCCCCUUUCUUCACUGUCUCAUAGUUUUUCAUGCACAAGUUUUGCACUUCUUUUGUUAAAUUUAUCCCUCAAUAGUUUAGUCAUCGUUAAUUUCACUUUUGAAUUAUUACUAUUAUACAGAAAUACAACUGAUUUUUGUGUUCUGACUUUGUGUUUUGCCACUUUGUUGAACUCAUUUGCUAGCUCUAAUGGUUUCUUUUAAAAAUGUUUCUCAAGAUUUUCUAUUUACAUUCCAUCUCAUCUGCAAAUACAGAUUGUUUUACUGCUACUUUUUCAGGAUGCUUGUCGUUUCUUUGUUGUUGUUUUUUUUUUCCUCCCUCUAUUUAUUGCCCUGGAUACAACCCUCAAUACAAUAAAUACAUAUAGUAGUAAGAGUGGGCAUUCUGUCUUAUUCUCCAUCUUGGGAUGUUUUCACCAUUAAUUAUGUUGACAGUGUUGUUCGUUGGUUUUUUUUGGGGGGGGGGGUUGUUUGUUUUAAUUAUUGUCCUCCCUAUCAAUUUGAAGACAUUGUUCUCCUUAAUUUGGUAAGUGAUUUUAUCUUGAAAGCAUUUUGGUAAGUGCUUUCUCUGCAUCUACUUAGAUGUCAUGUGAAGAUAUUUAUUCUUUAUUUUAUUAAGGUGAUAGUAUCUUGAUUGAUUUUUGGAUGUUGUAUUCCUAGGAUAUAUUCCUCUUGGUCACAGAGUACAAUCCUCUUGGUAUGUUGCUACACUCCAUUUGCUAGUAUUUUAUUGGGAUUUUUCAUAAUGAAUGUUUGUCUGCAAAUUUUUUUCCUUUCAUGAAUUUAGUCUGAUUUUAGUCUUAGGAUAAAAAUAUCCCCUUAGAAACUGAAAGGUGUUUUCUGCUCUUCUGUUUUACAGUGUCUGGUGAAGUAUUAGUUUAAUUUUUGAAUAUUUGGUAGAACUCACCAGUGAUGCCAUCUAGUACUGGACUUUGAGUGACAUUUUUGUUGUCUUAGGUAUAUUCAGAUUUUCUUUUUUCUCGUGAGUUCAUUUUGAUGUUUUCUAUUAUUGUAGGAAUAUGACUUUCUUCAUUGGAAAGAACAGAGUCAUGUAGUAUUCAGGUGAUUAAACUUGUGGUAGUCACAUCACUCAAUCUGUUAGCAUUUAAGUGUUCAUAGUAUUCCCUUAUAAUCCUUUUAUUUCUAUCAUGUUGUUUGUAGCAGCUCCUUUCUUAGUCGUUAUUUUACUAAUUUGAAAUUUUUUUCUUUUCCUUAAGUCAAUCUGCCUAAAGAUUGGCCAAUUUUGUUGCUUUUUCAAAUGAAGCAACUUUGGCCUAUGUUGACUUUAUAUUUUCAUUUCAUUUACUUACUUCCUUGUAUUUGCUUUUGUUUUAUUUUUCUCUUUUAGGGUGGUUCUUUGUGUAUCCAUAGGUGUUUAACUUCACUAGUGGUAUUAAUUUUUAGGUAUUUUUCUUUUGUUUUCUUUGAUAAACUCAACUUUAGCUUUUAUAGAACAAUGUAAAUCCACUCUGCAAAUUCUAGAGUUUAAUAAUUAAUAAACACACCACAUUUUAGAUACUACCUUGCUGCAAUUCACCUCUUUGUGCAUUUUCCUUAAUGGAUCCUUGAGAAAGUUUCUUAGGCCUAAAGUGCUUCCCAGAACAGGAUUGGAACAGCUGUCACUAGUAAAUACUGAUUGCUCUCCUCUGUGUUGGUGUAUAUUCCUAUCAAAGUGCAUAUGAAUUCCUAUUUCCUCACAUUUUGACUAAUAAUUUGUGUUAGUUUUGUGCAAGUGCAAAAAAAAAUACCUGAGAUAAUCAACUUAUGAAAACAAAAUGUUUAUGUUGACUCACAAUUUUAGAGGUUUCAAUCUGUGAUCACUUGGCCCCAUUGCUCUGGGCCUGUAGUGAAGCAGCACUUCAGACAGAACACAUGCUAGAGCAAAAGCACUCACCCAACAGCCAAGAAGUUAAAAAAGAGGAAGAAGGAGGUAGGACUGUACUAUCUCCUUGGAGAGCACAUACCCAGGGACUGAAUGGCCACCCUCAAGGCCCUACCUCUUAAAAGUUGCACCAUCUUUCAAAAGUGCAAGCUGGGGACCAAGCCAUUAACACAUGGGCCUUUGGGGACAUUUACUAAUCAAACUAUAGCAUAAUACAUUUUAGUAUUUUUAUUUUGAUUUUAAUCACCAUGUUAUUUUGAUUUUAAUUUUAGCCAAUAUCAAGGUUAUAUAUUCUCAUUUUAUGUUUCUCCCAAUAAAGACAAUAGAGUCACAUGAUUAUAAGCUUUUGGACUUCCUCACUUGGAGUUUGUUUUUAUUCUUAUUAGUCUUAUUAUUAGUUUAUUUUAUUCUUAUUACCAAUUAUUACCUUUGCCUGCUUUGUCAAGAGCCAUCAAAUAUUUAUUACUUUGUUUCAUGUUAGUUUCACCUACGGAGGUAUCUCUAAAUUUAUCAUUCUAUAUUUAACUAUUUAGAAAUUUGUUAUUUAAUUAAAUGCUUCUAAUUUGUUGUAGUUAAAUUUAACAUUCUAUUUGUUUAAAAAAGCUUUCUCUUUCCCAUGGAUUUUAAAGGUGGUUCCCUAGUUUUUCUUCUCUUAACUUUGUAGUUGUAACUUUCAUUUUUUUCUACCUAUAGCAUGAGGGAACAUAACUAUUUUUCUUCUAUUGUGACCCAAAUUUUAAAAAACAGUAAAAAUAACUAACAUUACUCCAGUGAUAAUUGCUACAACUUCUGUCAUAUAUCUAAUGUUUAGCAUAGAUUAUUUUGUUUCAACACUACCUACUAUUUAUUUUAGGCACCUUUCAAUGUUGGAACCACAUUUUUCAGGGGGAAGGGUGAGGUUAUAAUCUGUAAUGAGUAGUAUCAUCUGAUGGGACAAAUCCUAGCUCUUUACUCUUCCUUUUCCAAUUAUCUUAACCAUAUGCAUUAUUCUUUCAAAAAAGUUAAAAUUGGGUCAAAAAAUAAAAGGUUUUAAAAUGAUGAACUGUAGAUUAAGAUAUCAUCAUAAUGUUUAUCAUAAGUCAAAUCAUCUGUUAUUAUGAUAUGUAUUCCCAUUAAUUAAAAUCUUCUAUAUACUUUGGCAGAAAUUUUAACAUGUGAGUAUAUAACUGCAAACAUCCACAAAUUUGAGUUAGAUAAUUUCUAUUUUUCUGCAGUUUCCUGUUCUCUACAAUAUACUAAUGAAGCACUGGCAACUGUUUAAGAGAAUUAGAACAGAAAUGAUUAGAAGCAAAAGUAAUAAUUUAAUCAAAAGUAAUUAAAGCCCUCUGUUUUAAGAAGACUCUUCAUUAAUAAUUUAGAAAAUGUUAUGAUUUAGAUAUGUCCCUCAAACUCUCAUGUGUGAGAGAAUUUACUUCAGAGAUGAAAUGAUUUGACUGUGAAGGAUGUAACCUAAUGACUGGAUUAAUUCACUGUUAUAGAUUAAUUGUGUGAUAAUUUUAGGAAGGUAUGAUGUAGCCAGAGGAAGUAGGUCAUUAGAAGGUGUGCAUUUGGGGUUCAUAUUUUGUCCCUGGUGAGUACAGCUCACUGUCUACUUCCUGGUUACCAUGUCCUGAUUUGCUUUCAUUUACCUUCUGCCAUGAUAUUCUGCCUCACCUCAGGCCCAGAGCUAUGGUGUCAGCCAACAAGGGACUGAACUUCUGAGCCAAAAUAAACUUUUCCUCCACAAAGUUUUUUUUAUCAGGUCUUUUGGUCACAGCAAUGCAAAGGUGACUAAAACAGAAAUUGUUACUGAGAAGUUGGAUCAUUGCUGUGACUAACCUGAUCAUGUGACUCAAAAGCUUUUGUUGCUGGUUGGCAGGAAUUUUUCAAAAUUUAGAGAAACAAGCUGGAAAAAGCUUUAGCUGUUGUUAAUGGGGCUUAAUGGGAAAUUCUGAUGGGAGCUCAGAAGACCAAAAUACUGAUAGGACUGUGAACAGUAAAGAUUGGCUCAUGAAGUUUCAGAGAAGGAAGACAACUCUGUUGCAAAUUGGACUGGAGGUCAUUUAUGUUCCAAUCUGGCAAAUAAGUUGUCUACAUUUUGCCUAUGGCUUGAGAAUAUCUGUGAGUCUGAAUUUAAAAGUGAUUGACUGAUUAAUCUGGCAGAGGAGAUUUUAAGAUAGCACAGCAUUCGGCGGUGGUAUGGAUAUUGCUUGUCAGCUUUUUGCCAAGUUUGCUGUGAUAAUCAGGAGCAAAGCGCAGACCAGAAAUAUUUGGAAAGAGAUCAUAGGGACUAAAGAGAUGCUAAGUAUUUUAUAAAAAGACAAUAGGAAAGAUGAUUUGAAGGCAUCUCAGGAACUGACAAGACCACGCCUAUUUCAGGCUCAAAGAUGAAAAAGUAAAAAUUUUGUUAAGGAGAGACCAUGGGGGCACCCACUCUGCAUAUCAGGUGCCUAGGACGUUGUUCCACUGUGUGGAAUCACAGAGGCUUCUGCAGCUGCGAUCCAAAGAAGCUUGGCUACAGCUCAUGAUGGUGGCAGACCUUGGGAUUGACCACAUGAUUCUGAUUUUACAGGAAUGCAGGAUACUGGAGUUAGAGGGUCAUGGAAGCAUCCAUUAAGAUUUCAAAGGAAGGCCUGGGAGGCAAGGUGAAAUGUAGCAGGAUCAGAAUCUCUGUAGGAAGCCCCUGAGAGAGUGAUGUGUAAAGAUAUGAAAAGGAAACCAAAGUGACAGUGGAGACCACUGAGAUUAAAAGUUGCAGUAAUGUGGAACACCUACUGAGGAUGGUUACAGCAAUGGAGCAGACAAGCCAAGAGCAAGGCCAUGUGGACUAUAAUCAACAAGGUCAUAGGGGCAGAGUUACACAAGCCUUCUGGAGAAACGUCAUGUGUCCCAGAUGCUGUAUAUUGAUCUAUAGGAAGUGUUUGCCUAGCUCAAUCUGUGUCUUGCUUUGGUCCCAUCCCUUCUUUCUAUGUCUCAGUUUCUCCUUUGUGGAAUGGAAAUAUUUACUCUGUACCAGUGUAUAUUUGGUAUAUGUGACUUGCCUAUCUAUAGGAAAAAACAUGAUCUUUAUAUGUAAAAACAUCCACGAAUUUGCCUUGAGUCUUAGGUGAAAUUUUUGAACUUGAAGUUUUGGGUAAUGCUAGAACUGUUGUAUGGGAACUCUUGAAAAAUGACUAAAUGCAUUUUGCAUUGUAAACAGAUGAGCAUGAGGUCUUGGAAGCCUGAGUUGAAUAUUAUGGUUUAGCUAUGAAGUAUCCACAAAACUCAUGUGUGAGACCAUUCAAGAAUUUUCACAGGUGAAAUGAUUAGAUUAUGAGAAAUGUGACCUAAUCAGUGGGUUAAUAUACUGAUAAGGAUUAACUGGGUGGUAACUAUAAGCAAUUAUGUUGUGGCUGGGGGAAGUAGGUCAUUAGGGCAUGCCUCUGUGGUUUGUAUUUUGUUCCUGGUGAACGGAACUCACUUUCUUUAUGGUUGCCAUGUUCUGAGCUGCUUUCCUUUACCACGCACUUCCAUCACGAUGUUCUGCCUCACCUCAAGCCAGAGCUCUAGAGUUGAAAUGAACCUCUGAAACUGUGAGCCAAAAUAAACUUUUCCUCUGCUAAGUUGUUCUUUGUCGUCUUUGUCGUGUCUUUUGGUCACAGCAAUGAAAAGAUGACUAAAAUAGAAAUCUUAGCUUUUGUUUUUUUUCCUGAUCUCAAAUAACCUGGUAUUCCAGACAUUGAAGCAGGGGCCCUACUCUGUCCAAAGAGAUACUUACAGCCAGGAAAAAGUUACAAUAUAGCAUGUAUUUAGUUGGUUGUUCAUGUACAGGAACAAAGGUCAAUUAAAGAAAUUCAGUGUAAACACUAACAAGGGGAUGGGGAACGUACCCAAAAUAAUGCCUGUGACAGCCAAACAAAAGGCUUGAUUGGAAGCCUCGGCUGCCUUGUCAUAGUAUCUCAAUUGAUUGUAGCAUUUCACCUGAGUUUCAGGGGAGACAAGAAACAGGAAAAGAUGAGUUUAAAAAGAGAUACUGGUUUGGGGUGGGCUGUGCAUCUAUAAGGACCCAGCCUAGGUGUCUGAACCUAUAGGAAGUGCCAUCUCUCAGGCUCCUAGCAACGAGGGAAAACAAGGAAGAAGCUGAGUCAGGGUCAGGACCAGGAUGUAGAGGGAAAAUAAGGAUUGGUACUAUUCAGAUUCCCACCUGCCUAGAUGAGAUUACAGCUGCUGUGCCUAAGGGGAGGCAAAACAAGAGGGACAAGAUGGACAUCCACAUUAUUACUGGUGGGACUGACUCCUGGAUUCCCAGCAAUCACCAGCAACCAGGAAUUGCCAUAGAGACCAGACAAGCACCGCCUCUCAUCCUGUAUUUCUACUUCUAUUGGCUGACUAGAACAAAAACUGACUGCUGAUUGGUGGGAUGGUCCUGCUCUCUCAGGUUCCUGCUGAGCACCUUUGGGAGGAAAUGAUUAUUUGGGACUAGAAUGGUGUGGGCCUGGGAGUCUUGGAUUGCACUAGGUUACCUUGAGCCAGAAGAUUUAACCUGGAGUCGAAGGGUUAAAUUGAAGAGUUAUCCUCACUGUGAUUGACAUCUUUUCAAGUGCUUGUUUUCCUGCCAACCAUGUCAGUAUCUUCUUUGGUGAUUAAGCGUCUCCUUCUUAAGUCUUUCACUCAUUAAAAACAAAACAAUACAAAAAACUGGGUUGCAUUUGUUUAUUUAUCUAUUUAUUUUUCCUUUUUUUAUUAGUUGCACAUGACAAUACAAUUUGAAUCAAAUGGGGUAUAAUUUCUCAUUUUUCUGAGAGUACAGGUUGGGUUGCUUUUAUUAUGGUUAAGUUUUGAGGGUUCUUUUGUAUAUUCUGGAUACAAGUCCUUUAGAAGGUAUGUGAAUGCAAAUAUUUUCUACUGGCUUCUAACUUCUUUUCUUCUGUAAGAAGACUUUCUGCAAGAAGAUAACAUCAAUGACCCCAUAAUGUUUUAUACACAAUGACUGGCAUUGUGUAUAGAUGCAGUUAAUAAUAAUGGCAGAAGUGAUGUUUCUGUUACAAGUUUAGAAGUCAGGAAAAUUUAUGCAUUUCUCUCUAUCUGAUCUCUGUCAGCACCAACUGAAUAGACUGGGCUAAAAUGUUGGGGGAAUGAUACACCAUAUGUCUUGGUUAAGGCCAUCCAGAUAAGUGUUAGGUUUGUUAUAAAUAUAUGAAAGAAUUAAGCCGUAAUCACCAGAUAACACCAACCUUACAACAAACUGACUGCUGGUGGGAGUGUGGGAGCCCAAAUGAGAUGAUUAAGAGAGUCAAGAACAAUAGUACAAACUCAUUUUGGGGUUGCUUAUAUUGCAAUAGGAGCUUAUUAAAAAUAACUCAUUAAGAGAAAAAGAAAAAAACAGACAAUAGAAACAUACCUUUAGAUGAUCCAGUUAUUGGAGAUAUUAG